AGCAUGGGCUGAGGACAGCAUGGGCCACAGCUGCCCCCAGGGACCCUCCUCACUCACCACGAGGCUGGGAUCCCCCACUGCCUAAGGACGUUGCGUUGGCUGAUGCCAUGGUCACCUCUGGGCAGAGGCAGCUGAGGAUGAGGAUGAUGAGGAAGAGGAAGAAGAGGUGGAGAAUAAAAACCCACCGAAAAAGCUCAAGAAGAAGCUUCCCAAAGAGCCCCUCUCAGGUGGGGGGGAGAAGAAGCUGAAGACAAAGGAAGACAAGAGUGACCCUGACAGCAAAGCCAAAUCUGCCAAAAGCACCAAGAAGGAGCCAAUGUCCGUGUUCCAGGUGAAGAAGGAGAAGAAAAGCAAGAAGAAAGCUGCCACCAGCAGUGAUGAGGAGGACGAUUCUGACUCCAGCACCAAGCCCAUUAGGUCAGAGAAGAAAAACCCAGCAUCCCUCUUUCAGACUGGUGGGGACCCCCCAAAAGAGAAAAAAUCCAAAAAGAAAGUUCCUCCCAAAGGGGCUGAGAGUGAGGAGGAGACCCCAGAGACCCUGGAAAAAAACUCCAACAAGAAGGGAAAAGCAAAGAAAUCAAAGAAGCAGCAGAAGGAGGAGAGGCCCCCGUCCCCUGUCAUCGAGGUGGACAACCUGGAGGAGUUUGUGCUGCAGCCAGCGCCGCAGGGGGUGACCAUCAAGUGCCGGGUGACACGGGACAAGAAGGGCAUGGACCGGGGACUUUACCCCACCUAUUACCUUCACUUGGACAAUGACAAGAAGGUGUUCCUCCUUGCUGGGAGGAAGCGUAAGAAGAGCAAAACCUCCAACUACCUCAUCUCCAUUGACCCCACUGACCUGUCACGGGGUGGAGAGAACUUCAUCGGGAAGCUGAGGUCCAACUUGAUGGGUACGAGGUUCACCGUGUUUGACAACGGCACCAACCCCGACAGGGCCAACGCUGACUGGUCCAACGUGCGGCAGGAACUCUCGGCCGUGGUCUAUGAGACCAACGUUUUAGGGUUCAAAGGCCCCCGGAAGAUGACUGUCAUCAUCCCUGGGAUGAACGCUGACUGUGAGAGGGUGCCCAUCCGGCCCCGGAAUGAUAACGAUGGCCUCCUGAUGCGAUGGCAGAACAGGAACAUGGACAACGUGAUCGAGCUGCACAACAAAGCCCCAGUGUGGAACGACGAGACCCAAUCCUACGUCCUCAAUUUCCACGGCCGAGUCACCCACGCCUCUGUCAAAAAUUUCCAGAUCGUGCACAGCAGUGACCCCGAGUACAUCGUGAUGCAGUUCGGGCGUGUGGCGGAUGAUGCCUUCACCAUGGACUACAACUACCCCCUGUGCGCCGUGCAGGCCUUUGCCAUCGCCCUCUCCAGCUUUGACGGGAAGCUGGCCUGCGAGUAGCACCUGCAGCGGGGCUGCCGGGACCAGCGGGGCUGCCUGCCUGUGCCCGGAGGAUAUUCCUGCAUCUCUGUCCUGUUCCGUUCCCUGCAUUUUCACCUUCUUGCAGUCACGGUUGUUCCUGGGGUGGUUCAAGGCAUCUGGUUCCCACUGAGGAUGCUCACCUGGCUGCAGCCACUCUCUCCAGGCAAAUUCGUGGCAAAUUGUUGGGCUGGGGUGAUGGCAGAGCCAAGCUGGAGAUAUAUUCAUAUUCAGCAGAUGAGGCUGACUGCAAUCCCUGUCUCAUCCCUUUGGACUCAGAUCCUGGAAACUCAUCCCCACCCCUCUUUUUAUUAUUUUUUUUUGGUAUGGUUUGGAUCUUUAUGUUCAUUCUCCCAGUGAGAAAGGGGUAGGUGGUCUCCCCACUUUUUUUUUCCUCAUCCCUACCCACAUGCAGGUGGGCUCUGCCUAAGCUCCCAGCUAAAGACCCCCAUCCCAACUCAUUGGCCACCAGGCACAAAGCCCCUCUUUGGCCCCAUUUUGCCCUGGUGUGAGGGGAUGGCUGGUGCCCAUGGUGUGUUUGUACCCACUGGGUCUCACCACACUGCCCAGAAAAUGAUGGGGAUUUGGGUCCCUAAGAAGCAGCCUGGCACCAGCAGCGCACAGGCACGUGCUGAGGGGUGACAGUGCCAGCAGAGGAGGCAGGCACAUGAGACAGAGCUUGCACUGCUGGCAGGUGGCCCAGCUGGGUCAAUGCUGCUAGGAGAGACCUGGAAGAGAAAACUCAGGAUGCACCAGGAAGCAGUGGAGUGACUCAUGAGGUGUGGUGUGGUGCUGAGUCACGCUCAGCACCCAGACAGGCCCUGCUGAGCUCCCCGUGCCCUCAGCUUUCACUGCUCCUCUACUCUGUGACGCCCCUGCAGACCCCACGUGCCCCAGAUGUCCCCACAGCUGCCUCACUGGUGCUUUCUGUUGACGAGAGAUGGACAGAAGGUGUCAUUCCCUGCCUCAGGCUGGUGGGGAGCUGGGGUGACACCAGUGCAGGGAGGCAUUGGGAAGGGGAGAUGCUGAAGAGAGGCAGCUCAGUGGGAGCAGGACAGCUCUUGUCCCCAGUUUCACCAGUUAUGGGGUGAGGAUUUGGCUGCACAAACAGUCCCAAAUCUGAUUAAUUCAGUGGUGAGAAAAACAGGGACAUGACAAGGAGCCUUGGAACACUGUCCUCAGCUCUCUGGUCGCGUUUUUCUCACCUGCUCAGCUCUCCUGCUGACUUAUGUGGGAUUCCCUUUGCAGUACACAAAGGGGUUGCUCCCCAAUUCUGGGGGUGAUACAAGCCCCCCAGGUUAAUGCAGCUGAAAGGCAUCUCCAGCAGAAAGGCUGAGGAGCAGAUGGAUGAGAUGGAUGUGGUUGUGCAAGAGGGAUGCUCAUCCUCUCUGGGCAGUGUCACAACAUCACCGUGGCCUGACCUGUCUGCUUGGGGCUGAGGGCAGAUGGCAGUGACAGGGGGACCAUUGGUGAACAUCUGCCCCUUUGCAGAUGGGAAUGGAGACUUUCCCCAGCUGUAUGAAUCUGGGCUUCAUGAUUCACAGGCACAUGCUCGUGGUGGGGCAGGCAGAGGUGGACAGCUUGGGGACAAGCCAGCCUGCGUGGGACAUUAUCCAUUAUACACGCUCAGAGAACAUCUUGUGAGCCAGAGGGAGAACCAGCCACAGCAGUUCGGGGCCAGCAUCCCUGGUGAGGGUGAUGGAUAUUUGGGCCCUUUGUUUGCGCUGGCUGUUAACACCAGAGGAGAUGAGGGAUGGAAGCAGUUGAAAUGUGUAUCUACUUUGGCCGUCGGAAAGUGUGACGGAUGCGCCGGCAGACCAAUGGCUGAGGAUGCUGGGCUGUGCGUGGGUGUGAAAGGAAUGCUCGCUGCAAGAAAAGAUAAAAAAAAAGAAAAAAGAGCCUUAUCAAUGGUGUUUGAGUCCAAAGUGUGUGUAUUCCUUGGAGAAAGGGUUUCCUCAAUCCCCAGGGAUAAUGUUUUCCCUGCAAUGUGAAACUUUGAGGUUUCUGAAGCUUCAUUUUAGGGGCACUGGCACUGGGCUGGUGCUGCAGGCAUGGAUUUAACCCGACAAAGUGCUCAUGCAGGGGCACAAGCGUGGCCAGUGGCCAGAGGUGACUGUCGUCAGCUCCUCAAGGGAACCUCCUGGGAAAUGCGUUUUAUUUUUGCAGAGAUGCUUAUAAGGCAAAGGGGAGGAAAAAAAUAAGGCCCCACCUCAGUGCUGAGCUGCACAUCCCAGGCAGGAGCAGUGUCACUGCAAUGCUGGCAGCUCUCUCCGGGGUUCAUCCCCAUCCCACGCCGAUGAGUGGAAAGAUGCUGCUCCAGAGCUGAGCAGGAAGGUGGAUAUGAGGGGUCUUCUCCAGCUGCUGGCUUCUCCCUCUUCUGCAGACCCCUGGGGUUUGGGGGGCUCCAUGCACCCAGUUCUGAGCCCCACUCUCUUGAGGGGGCUGACAGAUAUUUCCAUGCGUCCCAGGAGGCAAACGUUCCAGCGGGAAGGAAGGAGGGAAGGGCUGGGACAUCCUGGGGGGUGCAGGAGGGGAGACCAGCCCUGGGAAACUCCUUGUCCAGCAGUGGAAGGGCUGGAGCUGUUUGGUUCCCAGCAAGCUGCCCUGGCCCCAGCCCUGCAGGAUCUCUCUUCAGCUUUGAAGUGGUGAUACUUUAAUUAAUAAAAGAAGUUAUUGUGACGAGGUGUUCUUCCCUCCCCCUCCCCUUGUAUUUAUUUUGGUAACAUUUUUUAGAGGGAAAGGCAGACUCAUUGCUGGUUAGCUCAGCUGUGGCUUUGCAGGAUGGGCUCCUUCUCGAUGCAGCAAGCCACAGGCAGCAAUGGGAAAGCCAAUAUUUUUCAACUGCUUUUUAAAAGGAGUCAUUUUUUAAUUAGUAAAUCCAUUCUGGAGAAGUGUUGGAGUUUUACAAUGUUGUAGCUGUUCUUGGUGUCUUGCCUAGACUUGGAUGUUCUGGCCAUAAGAAAAUAUUAUUUAUGGCGUUGCAGCUUGCAGCUCUUUUAUAUUAUAAUUUGAGAAAGGAAGUUGCUGUUCCCACCAGCGGACAAAAAAAUAGCAGAAACAAGGACUAUGGACUUCUGAAGCAGGAAAAUAAAUAAAAAUUAAGAGGCAGAAUGGAAACAAACCACUGAGCCAGCCUUGAAUCUUUGCAUUCCUGAACAAGCUCAUCCCAGCAUCACUAUCAGUUGUGCUGGAUGCUGUAGCCAGACCCCUGCCCAAAUGGCAAGGCCAGAGCAGCAGUGACCCCCUCAGCACUCUCCUGCUCAAUGUUACAUGUGUUCCUAAACAUUUGUGGAUCAGGCUUUUUAUUCAUGGGCUAAUGCACACUUGUUUGCUCAUGACUUACUCAGCCUAAACUCCUAUUGAACUCAAUUAAAGCUGUCAUCUCCAGGAGCACUCAAUGUCAUUUUUGCCCAAGUAAGGGAUGAGUAACGAGGCUCUGAACAGCCCUUGGAGAAUAACAGCCAUUUUGUUGCAG